rnacentral:rRNA from 1 species
CAGCAGCCGCGGGAAUACGGAGGGGGCUAGCGUUGUUCGGAAUUACUAGGCGUAAAGCGCACGUAGGCGGCUUUGUAAGUUAGAGGUGAAAGCCCGGAGCUCAACUCCGGAAUUGCCUUUAAGACUGCAGAGCUAGCAGGUGAGAGAGGUGAGUGGAAUUCCGAGUGUAGAGGUGAAAUUCGUAGAUAUUCGGAAGAACACCAGUGGCGAAGGCGGCUCACUGGCUCAUUCUAGACGCUGAGGUGCGAAAGCGUGGGGAGCAAACAGGAUUAGAUACCCCGGUAGUCCCUGUCUCUUAUAC